UACGUAGGGUGCAAGCGUUGUCCGGAUUUAUUGGGCGUAAAGAGCGUGUAGGCGGCCAUACAGGUCCGUUGUGAAAACUGGAGGCUCAACCUCCAGACGUCGACGGAAACCGUAUGGCUAGAGUCCGGAAGAGGAGAGUGGAAUUCCUGGUGUAGCGGUGAAAUGCGCAGAUAUCAGGAAGAACACCCGUGGCGAAGGCGGCUCUCUGGGACGGUACUGACGCUGAGACGCGAAAGCGUGGGGAGCGAACAGG
rnacentral:rRNA from 1 species